AAAAUGUUUAAAAUUCUGGUAAAUAUUACUUUUUUAGAUAAAUUAUAGGAAAUAAAAAAAAUUAAAUAUUGGAAUGGCAACAAGUUUUCUGAAAAAAUAACCACAUGUAAUAUAACUUUACUACCUAUUCGCUCGAUUUAAAAUAGAUGGUAAUAUAUUACAUUUUUUUUCUACAAGGAUUGGUUAUCGAUACCAAGGUAUCACAUUAUAAUUUAUUAAUUUAUAAUAGUUUUUAAUUGACUACUAUUGGUUUAAUUUUAAUAGUACCUGAUAAAAUAUAACUUAAAAUAUUUUUUUUAUUAAUUCAAGCAUAAUUUUUAUUUAACAGUUAAUUUACUAUAUUCACUAGCCACUAAGUAAUCGUAUAUUAUACGUCCACAUAACAAUUUUAUACAUAUAGUAAAUAAACUGAGUUGUGCAUGUUGGUAACGUUGCAUUCAUUUUUGUACGCAAUCAUUAUAUUUAUAAGGGUCAGGUACAGAAAUCGUAGGCAGUCAUACAAAUUUAUGCAAUCGGGCUACAAAAAGGGACAAACGUAUGCAAUCGUAUAUCACCGCUUUGAUUGAAACAUUCAUGGACAUUCAGCUAAAUUUCAUAGUAUAUAAACUAAAUUACUCUAUUUAUUCUACCGUCUUAAAUUCUCAACUACUAGUAGUUGAUAAUGAUAGUUAUUUUCUUUAUUAAUAAAUUUUGCAUAUUAUUUAUUUCUUUUAUUAAAAUUGUAAGCAACUAUUUAUAAUUUUGAAUUUAAUAACUAAAACAAUGAUUCUUUAUAUCAAAGUUUAAAGUGAAAUUUAUUAACAUUAACGAUUGCAUAUAAUUAGAUUAAUAGGUCAUCUAAAAAAAAUUUAAAAAGUAUUA